rnacentral:rRNA from 1 species
CCUACGGGAGGUAGCAGUAGGGAAUUUUCGUCAAUGGGCGCAAGCCUGAACGAGCAAUGCCGCGUGAACGAGGAAGGUCUUCGGAUCGUAAAGUUCUGUUGAAGGGGAAAAAGAGCGGAGAGAGGAAAUGGUCUCCGAUUGAUAUUACCCUUCGAGGAAGUCACGGCUAACUACGUGCCAGCAGCCGCGGUAAUACGUAGGUGGCGAGCGUUAUCCGGAAUGAUUGGGCGUAAAGGGUGCGUAGGCGGCCUGCUAAGUCUGGAGUGAAAGGUACCGGCUCAACCGGUACAGGCUCUGGAAACGGGCGGGCUAGAGAGCAGGAGAGGGCGGUGGAACUCCAUGGGUAGCGGUAAAAUGCGUAGAUAUAUGGAAGAACACCAGUGGCGAAGGCGGCCGCCUGGCCUGUUGACUGACGCUGAGGCACGAAAGCGUGGGGAGCAAAUAGGAUUAGAUACCCCAGUAGUC